rnacentral:rRNA from 1 species
UCGAUUGAGUUUGAUCAUGGCUCAGAACGAACGCUGGCGGCGUGGAUAAGACAUGCAAGUCGAGCGAGAUUUUUUCUUGUAGCAAUACAGGGAAAAGUCUAGCGGCGAACGGGUGCUUAACACGUGGGCAACCUGCCGUGAAGUGGGGGAUAGCUCGCCGAAAGGCGAAUUAAUACCGCAUGUGAUUAGAGAGGACAUCCUUUCGAAAUUAAAGUCGGGGCAACCUGACGCUUCUUGUGGGGCCCGCGGCCUAUCAGCUAGUUGGUGAGGUAACGGCUCACCAAGGCUUUGACGGGUAGCUGGUCUGAGAGGACGACCAGCCACACUGGGACUGAGACACGGCCCAGACACCUACGGGUGGCAGCAGUCGAGAAUUUUUGACAAUGGGGGAAACCCUGAUCGAGCGACGCCGCGUGGAGGAUGAAGGUCUUCGGAUUGUAAACUCCUGUCAUUGGGGAACAAGGUGCAUACGUUAACUGCGUAUGUAUUGAUAGUACCCGAAGAGGAAGGGACGGCUAACUCUGUGCCAGCAGCCGCGGUAAUACAGAGGUCCCAAGCGUUGUUCGGAUUCAUUGGGCGUAAAGGGCGCGUAGGCGGCGCGGUAAGUCGGGUGUGAAAUCUCGNAGCUUAACUCCGAAACUGCAUUCGAUACUGCCGUG